AGCUGGUUCUCCCCGAAAGCUAUUUAGGUAGCGCCUCGUGAAUUCAUCUCCGGGGGUAGAGCACUGUUUCGGCAAGGGGGUCAUCCCGACUUACCAACCCGAUGCAAACUGCGAAUACCGGAGAAUGUUAUCACGGGAGACACACGGCGGGUGCUAACGUCCGUCGUGAAGAGGGAAACAACCCAGACCGCCAGCUAAGGUCCCAAAGUCAUGGUUAAGUGGGAAACGAUGUGGGAAGGCCCAGACAGCCAGGAUGUUGGCUUAGAAGCAGCCAUCAUUUAAAGAAAGCGUAAUAGCUCACUGGUCGAGUCGGCCUGCGCGGAAGAUGUAACGGGGCUAAACCAUGCACCGAAGCUGCGGCAGCGACGCUGAUGCGUUGUUGGGUAGGGGAGCGUUCUGUAAGCCUGUGAAGGUGUGCUGUGAGGCAUGCUGGAGGUAUCAGAAGUGCGAAUGCUGACAUAAGUAACGAUAAAGCGGGUGAAAAGCCCGCUCGCCGGAAGACCAAGGGUUCCUGUCCAACGUUAAUCGGGGCAGGGUGAGUCGACCCCUAAGGCGAGGCCGAAAGGCGUAGUCGAUGGGAAACAGGUUAAUAUUCCUGUACUUGGUGUUACUGCGAAGGGGGGACGGAGAAGGCUAUGUUGGCCGGGCGACGGUUGUCCCGGUUUAAGCGUGUAGGCUGGUUUUCCAGGCAAAUCCGGAAAACUAAGGCUGAGGCGUGAUGACGAGGCACUACGGUGCUGAAGCAACAAAUGCCCUGCUUCCAGGAAAAGCCUCUAAGCAUCAGGUAACAUCAAAUCGUACCCCAAACCGACACAGGUGGUCAGGUAGAGAAUACCAAGGCGCUUGAGAGAACUCGGGUGAAGGAACUAGGCAAAAUGGUGCCGUAACUUCGGGAGAAGGCACGCUGAUAUGUAGGUGAAGUCCCUCGCGGAUGGAGCUGAAAUCAGUCGAAGAUACCAGCUGGCUGCAACUGUUUAUUAAAAACACAGCACUGUGCAAACACGAAAGUGGACGUAUACGGUGUGACGCCUGCCCGGUGCCGGAAGGUUAAUUGAUGGGGUCAGCGCAAGCGAAGCUCUUGAUCGAAGCCCCGGUAAACGGCGGCCGUAACUAUAACGGUCCUAAGGUAGCGAAAUUCCUUGUCGGGUAAGUUCCGACCUGCACGAAUGGCGUAAUGAUGGCCAGGCUGUCUCCACCCGAGACUCAGUGAAAUUGAACUCGCUGUGAAGAUGCAGUGUACCCGCGGCAAGACGGAAAGACCCCGUGAACCUUUACUAUAGCUUGACACUGAACAUUGAGCCUUGAUGUGUAGGAUAGGUGGGAGGCUUUGAAGUGUGGACGCCAGUCUGCAUGGAGCCGACCUUGAAAUACCACCCUUUAAUGUUUGAUGUUCUAACGUUGACCCGUAAUCCGGGUUGCGGACAGUGUCUGGUGGGUAGUUUGACUGGGGCGGUCUCCUCCUAAAGAGUAACGGAGGAGCACGAAGGUUGGCUAAUCCUGGUCGGACAUCAGGAGGUUAGUGCAAUGGCAUAAGCCAGCUUGACUGCGAGCGUGACGGCGCGAGCAGGUGCGAAAGCAGGUCAUAGUGAUCCGGUGGUUCUGAAUGGAAGGGCCAUCGCUCAACGGAUAAAAGGUACUCCGGGGAUAACAGGCUGAUACCGCCCAAGAGUUCAUAUCGACGGCGGUGUUUGGCACCUCGAUGUCGGCUCAUCACAUCCUGGGGCUGAAGUAGGUCCCAAGGGUAUGGCUGUUCGCCAUUUAAAGUGGUACGCGAGCUGGGUUUAGAACGUCGUGAGACAGUUCGGUCCCUAUCUGCCGUGGGCGCUGGAGAACUGAGGGGGGCUGCUCCUAGUACGAGAGGACCGGAGUGGACGCAUCACUGGUGUUCGGGUUGUCAUGCCAAUGGCACUGCCCGGUAGCUAAAUGCGGAAGAGAUAAGUGCUGAAAGCAUCUAAGCACGAAACUUGCCCCGAGAUGAGUUCUCCCUGACUCCUUGAGAGUCCUGAAGGAACGUUGAAG
rnacentral:rRNA from 1 species